GUAAAAAGCACUAUAGAUGGGAGUCCUUUUAUACCUUGAAAAGGCACUGGGCAGCACAGCACAUGCUUUCUCAACACGCUUAUUACUGUGAUUCAACCCUAAUUUAGAGGGUCAUCUAUGAAUGAGAGAGUAAUUCAGUCUCCAUGCUCAUUCAGUCCUUGGGUCCU
rnacentral:sRNA from 1 species